CACGUAGGGCGCAAGCGUUGUCCGGAAUUAUUGGGCGUAAAGAGCUCGUAGGCGGUCUGUUGCGUCCGCUGUGAAAACUCGGGGCUUAACCCCGAGCCUGCAGUCGAUACGGGCAGACUGGAGUUCGGCAGGGGAGACUGGAAUUCCUGGUGUAGCGGUGAAAUGCGCAGAUAUCAGGAGGAACACCGGUGGCGAAGGCGGGUCUCUGGGCCGAUACUGACGCUGAGGAGCGAAAGCGUGGGGAGCGAACAGG
rnacentral:rRNA from 1 species